CUUGUUCUGGUAAACUACGUGAUAGAUUCCUCACUAUUUGGCCGAGGUUAUUUUUACCCGUAAGUCCUGGCAACGCUGCCUGUGUGGGGCGGAGCUGUUACUUGGCAGCAUUUUCCCUUGAAACAAGGCUGUGAUUUGCUUCUGUUUGGUUUUCUCAGACACAUUAAGGAGUGAGAGGCAUUAUUUUAGACAAAUGAUCCAAAGUCAUCACAGUGAUACAAUAACUGAGAGAUUUGCUGAGCGAAACACAUGAACAUAUGGAUUGAUUAAAAUAUAGGAAAGGAAACAGACCUGGAAGCGGUGAAAGGGCUCUUUUUUGAUCCUUUAAUAAUGUGCAGUCUUUAUAUAACCUCAGGAUCUAUGAGAGACGGCAGGUGUUAGUCAUUUUCUUUGUGACGGUGCACCUUAGUCAUCCUAAAUAACACACAUCUGAGUGCAAUUUAAUAAACAUGUGGACUGCUGAACUGCUCGUUUUUACAUCUUCUCUCAAGAACACCACCAAUUUCCCUGUAUUUUGGAGAGACGAGGGUCGUGGGGAACCUGGACGGGGUGCCAAUCCAUCGCAGGGCACAAUCACAUACACAUUCACACACCCAUUCAUACAUUAUGCAUGCCUUUGGACUGGAGGAGGAAACCGGAGUACCUGGAGGAAACCUCCGCAGCACGGGGAGAACACGCAAACUCCACACACACAGGGCAGCGGCGGGAAUCAAACCCUCAACUCUGGAGCGAUGGAGUCUGGUCUGAGGCGGGAGACGAGUGGUGUGCAGAUGUGCAAAGAGGACCAGAGAGAAAAAGAGGGAGGGAAAGAAGACGGGGAAGACGGGGAAGAGGAGCAACAAAACAUCGAAGUGAUUGUCUUACCUUAAAGAUUCUUUUCAAUAUAGUAAAUGAUUAUAAUAGUUUCCAUAAACAGACAAACAUACAAGAACUCUCUCUCUCUCUCUCUCUCUCUCUCUCUCUCUCUCUCUCUCUCUCUCUCACACACACACACAUAUUUUGGAAAUUGGCAUCACUCAGAUUUUGUCUUGCCUUAAAAUCCUCAAGAAUUUUCAUUCCCCAUAAUUCCUUUCCUCA
ensembl:lncRNA